rnacentral:lncRNA from 1 species
UGCUCUUGUUGCUCUGUUCUGCUUUUCAAUCCAUCUCCUCUCAUCACGACUAUAAAAUAGAAAAUAUUGGAAACAAACUACUGCUUAUAGAUGCUAUGACUGGAAAAUGCAAUAUUUUAUAAAAUAUUUAUAUGUACAUAACAUCCUAGAGGUUAAAAUGCUGUGUCAUUACUAACAUUAAACAAUGAUUUUUUUUUUUUUGAGACAGACUUUUGCUCUUGUCGCCCAGGCUGGAGUGCAAUGGCGUGAUUUUGGCUCAUUGCAACCUCUGCCUCCCAGGUUCAAGUGAGUCUCCUGCCUCAGCCUCCGGAGUAGCUGGAAUUACAGGUGCCUGUCACCAUGCCUGGCUACUUUUUCUAUUUUUAGUAGAGACAGGGUUUCGCCAUGUUGGCCAGGCUGGUCUCGCACUCCUGACCUCAGGUGAUCUGCCCGCCUCAGCCUCCCAAAGUGCUAGGAUUACAGGAAUGAGCCAGCACGCCCGGCCUAAACAGUGGUUCUAUUUAAUAUUAAUUUUGGUUAUUUUUUGCACAUUCAUGUCAAAAGCAUUUCUGCACACAUACAAAAAAAAAAUUAAUAAAACCUAGGUUAAGCAACCAGAAGAAAAAGAUUUUGCUGAACUGAGCUAUCUGACAUUAUAUUCCUUGGCAAUUUCUUAAGCAUAUCCUAACCAAUUAUUGAUCUGGGCCCACCUAGUUUAACUUGUGAGAAAGGAUUUCAAAAUAUUAAAAAAUUGUUUAAAAAAGAUGUACAAAGAGAAAAUAUGAAAGAAAAUUUACGUGACAAUUUUUACAUCAUCACAAAUACCAGAGAACCAAAUAAAUACCUUCCAUUAUU